rnacentral:rRNA from 1 species
GGUGCAUGGUUGUCGUCAGCUCGUGUCGUGAGAUGUUGGGUUAAGUCCCGCAACGAGCGCAACCCUCGACCUUAGUUGCCAGCAUUCAGUUGGGCACUCUAAGGUGACUGCCGGCUAAAAGUCGGAGGAAGGUGGGGAUGACGUCAAAUCAUCAUGCCCCUUAUGACCUGGGCUACACACGUGCUACAAUGGGCGGUACAAAGGGUCGCGAACCCGCGAGGGGGAGCCAAUCCCAAAAAGCCGCUCUCAGUUCGGAUUGCAGGCUGCAACUCGCCUGCAUGAAGCCGGAAUCGCUAGUAAUCGCGGAUCAGCAUGCCGCGGUCGAAUACGUUCCCGGGCCUU